GCCCGAACGCUGGCGGCGUGCUUAACACAGUGCAAGUCGAGCGAUGAGAUCCCUUCGGGGAUGGAUUAGCGGCGAACGGGUGAGGAACACGUGAGGAAUCUACCUUCUACUCUGGGAUAACUCCGGGAAACCGGGGCUAAUACCGGAUAUGAAAUCCGAUGGCAUCAUGGGAUUUGGAAAGUUUUUCGGUAGAAGAUGACCUCGCGGCCUAUCAGCUUGUUGGUGAGGUAAUGGCUCACCAAGGCGACGACGGGUAGCCGGCCUGAGAGGGCGACCGGCCACACUGGGACUGAGACACGGCCCAGACUCCUACGGGAGGCAGCAGUGUGUGAAUAUUGGGCAAUGGAGGAAUACUCUGACCCAGCGACGGCCGGCGUGCGGGGAUGAAAGGCCUUCGGGGUUGGUAAACCGCUUUCAGCAGAGGAAGGAAGCGAAAAAAGACGGUAUCUGCAGAAGAAGCACCGGCUAACUAUUUGUGCCAGCAGCCGCGGUAAUACAUAGGGUGCAAGCGUUGUCCGGAAUUAUUGGGCGUAAAGAAGCUCCGUAGGUGGUUCAUUACGUCGGAUGUGAAAAUCUGGGGCUCAACCCCAGACCUUGCAUUCGAUACGGGUGAUCUAGAGUGUGGUAGGGGAGACUGGAAUUCCUGGUGUAGCGGUGGAAUGCGCAGAUAUCAGGAGGAACACCAAUGGCGAAGGCAGGUCUCUGGGCCAUUACUGACACUGAGGAGCGAAAGCGUGGGGAGCGAACAGGAUUAGAUACCCUGGUAGUCCACGYYKUUAAACGGUGGGCCCUCCAUGUGGGAACCUUCCACGGUUUCUGCGACGCAGCUAACGCAUUAAGUGCCCCGCAUGUGAGACUACGAUCGCAAGAUUAAAACUCAAAGGAAUUGACGGGGCCCCGCACAAGCAGCGGAGCAUGCGGCUUAAUUCGACGCAACGCGAAGAACCUUACCAAGGCUUGACAUAUACCGGAAUAUGGCAGAGAUGUCAUAGCUGUAAAAGGUCGGUAUACAGGUGGUGCAUGGUUGUCGUCAGCUCGUGUCGUGAGAUGUUGGGUUAAGUCCCGCAACGAGCGCAACCCUCGUUCUGUGUUGCCAGCAU
rnacentral:rRNA from 1 species